CUCUAAACCAUUAUUUUUCCUCUUUCCCUUUAAAGUGCUGGAGGUUAUUUGCUGUUGAACUUACCCUAGCACUUCAGAAAGGACCCCCUGAUUUAAUCUGGAGGCAACUCUCCUUCAUGGUGACCCCUUUCUAUAGGAUCUCACAGGGUGGGGGGACAGGACCAAGGAACACGAGAGUGUUAAGAUCCUUCUGGUGGCAAUGAGGAAAUCUGAUCCUUCCAGUCUAAUAGCAACAUUAUGAUAUAUGUCGAGCUUGUACAGGGCAUGACCUCCCUUCCUGGACUGAAGGAUUGGAAUGGAAAGAUCUAAGUGAAGCCACAAGAGCCAACAAGGACAAUGGGUGCCUUAGGACUGGGACAGACAGGAUUGGGCCACUACAGCAAGUCAGUCUAUUUUCUAUCUGAUAUGUAGAAAACUCCUGAGACCCCAGGAGGGAUAUAGGGUGGGAAACUAACCUGUGAAUCUGCUUUUUUCCCCACAAGAACAUGGCAAUAAAACUCUAAAAUCAUAAUGCCUUAAUUAGGCUCUCCCAAACUUCUGGCCACUGUGGAUAAACUGACAAGUGUUGGAUGUGCUAUCCCAGACCUCAUUCUGUCACAGACCACAAAGAGCCUCUCAUUCUGCCAGCAGCGACCACCACCAGCAUUUCUACGGCCAGAGGCUAUAUCACCAGAACCUGAGUCCUGUAUUAUCAAGUAAAGAUCUGGCACCCACCGCAUGGUGUUGCCUCCUCCACUGCUACUGCCCUGGCAGCCCAGAAGACACCACUCAACUCCCUCAGGAAGGUUGUUUCGGGCAACAGAACUGCUCUAGACUUCACUUCAGCCUAACUAGGAGGAGUGUGUGACUGACAACACCUUCUGUUGUACCUGGAUAUGUACCUGAGGUAUUGUUGAAACACAAGUCGAGGCAAUCUGGAAGCAGGCCCACUGGCUGCAAAAUGUGGAGCCCUCUGACAGAUCUUUCUUUCCCCUUUAGCUGUUUUUCCAAGCAUACUUCCUGCUACAAUUUGACAUUUUUCUUGUUGUUAUCAGGCCAACUCUCAAACCACACCCUCACUAUAUACUUUUCAGACAAGGUUUAGAUGCUUAGUGAUCAUAUGAGUCUGUUGAAUUCACCAUAUAUAAAAAUUCUUCUGGGAAAUUAUUGAGUAGUGAGUUCAGCAAUACAUCCUAAAAUAUAUGUCCAUGUCCUAACCCCCUGUACGUGUGACCGUGAUGUUAUUGAAAAUGGGGUCUUCG
rnacentral:lncRNA from 1 species